AUCAUUGACACUUAAUAUCUUAGAUACCGAUCUGCACUUGGAGGCCUGCUAAUUAAUAUAAAAAUUAUUUUAAAGGCAAAGUAAUAAACAUCAAAGGUCGUAGAUUGAAAGUAAAAUUUGAUGAUGAUGAAGAGGAAUUAACAUACAAUAUAUCAGCAAGAGAGAGCUAUAAAGUUGUACUAGAUAAGGAACUUAAUCAAGAUGAGACAAGAAAACUGAAUAAGAAUGAUUGUGUUUUGGUAAAAUUACAUAGCCGUAGCUGCUACGAGACCAUGCACAGAGGUAUGUCAUAAUUAAGUUGCAAUGUGCUUUACUUUGUUAUUUUACUUUGUCUAAUGGCAGAUUAUUUCACUCUGUCUAUAUGCCAGAUUAUUUUACUCCAUUUAACACCAGAUAAUAUUAUUUAAUAGGCACAGUUCAGCCUUUUGAAUGUUAAUUAGGGCACAUUUCAGGCCUUAAUUUGAAUUGAAAAAAAAACUAACCAGGAAAAUCAAUUAAGCAUAAUUCAAAAUCAGCAAACUUAAUGUUUUUAACAUUUUAAAGAUCUUGAAUUAUGCAUAAUUGAUUUUCCUAGUUAGUUUUUUUUUCAAUAAAAAGGGCUAAAAUGCACCAUAAAAACCAUGAUUCAAAAGGCUGAACUGUGCCUUUAAAUUAACUUGUCAAUUCAGUUGAAAUCUAGAUUGCAUGAUCUUUCUGUGGAAAAAAGAUUUCACUUCUGAAAGUUCUGAUAAUUGCACAAUCAGUGGUUUAGCCAGCUCGAUAAGUGAGGGAAUAUUCAUAUUCGUGUUCUGCACAAUUAAUUUCUUUUGAAAUUGAUUGUUUUUACGGUCUAUAUGAAUAAGCCCCCCUCCCCAAUCAUGGAAUCUGGCUACGCCACUGCUUCCAAUUACCUGCUUGGGACCGGGUCAGGUGCAUGUGGACAGUGUUUUUUGGAAUGACCCAAAGUUUAGUUGUAAUUAAAUCCUAUUGUUCCACAUGUGGGCAGAUUUGCUGGGGGUUAGGGUGGUUAACCCUCCCCCUCCCCUAGAAUCUUUCUAACCCCUCUUAUUAAAGUGUUCAACCCCACCAAAAUUUUGCUUCACCUUUCCUAUUUUGUGUGAAAGUCUUUAACCCUAACACUCUCUACCGAAGCUCGCUCAGUGGUGCCACUUGCACCUCACUAGAAAUUUUUCCAUCCUUUAACAAAACUCAAACUUUGUAGGUUUACCAUGCAAACCUACAAAGAAUGUAUUGGACCUGUUGGAACAACCUUGCAACAAGUAUAAUAAUAUCAACAAGGUUGUUCUCUAUUUGUUGACAACUUGGGACACAAUCAGGGCAAACACAGCUUGUUGGCAGACUUGCUACAAGAAGUGAGAUUUUUGCGUGUAUAGUAUUCCAACAGAUUUGCACAACCAACACAAGCAUUAGUUCCUAAGCCUCUCCUACAGAGCCACCUUAAACAUUUGUAAAGAACUUUAGAACUUAUAUAACAUUUCCACAGGCACAGCCAAUGAAACUGCAGAGAGUGAUGGAAAGACUGAAAGAAAAUGCUUAACUCUUCCCAUGCAAAAGUUAUUACUGAGCAAAAACAAUCCAUGCGAACUGACCUUUUUAAAAAGUCUGCAUUGUGACUUAGUUUGAGGUAAAGGAAAACCCCGCACACCAUUCGGAUUGCGUGAUAGUUUGCGGGUAAAUACGAUCAUUUGGCCAAUCAGGCAAGCCAAAUGGCUGUGCGGGGUUUUCCUUUAUCCGCAAACUACGUCACAAGACAGACUUUUUAAAAAGGUCUAUUGGCCAAGUGAUCCUAAUUAGCCGCAAACUAUAUAUGUCACAAGGCAGACUUUUUGGACCAGAAACUAAUUGUCCCCAAUCGCUGCUAAUCUUCUUGUUCUUCUUCUUAGGGGGCCGACGCUCUUUGAAAAAACCCUAAGGGCUAAGGCUCUAUCAUUACUUGUCCGAUUGGAAAAAUUGAAACUGGACAUAAUUAUUCUAAGCAACAUACCGCAUCUGUUCACGGUGUUCGAUUUUUCAUUUUUGACUUUAGAAGCAAAAUACAAGCAAUUCUUGACUGUAUUCGUAGCAAAUAAUAUACUCGCGUAUCAUUAAUAUUCAGCAAAUAUAUCAGCAAACGCAAACGAGCAGAAAGACAUUGUGAACACAAUCGCAAUAGUAUAUAACGAUUAAUUGUAAGCCUUAAUAAGUUGACUAAAUUUAACACGCUUGUUUAGUUUCUCAAAGCGCAGAGGAUAGACUUGACUUGCCACAAGUCGCUCGCGCUCGCUGCUUACUUCAGGCUGUCACAAAUAAGAGCAGUUGUUGAAAAAAAUCUCAGUAACUUCUGCAGACCACGGAGGAAAAUAGUUAGUUAAUUAUAAGUAGUAUAUAUAUAUAUAAACAAAUUAAAAUAAAUCUUUUGAAUUUAGAUAUAUUUGCUUGUAUUGUUUCACUCGCGUCAUUUUCUCUUGUUAUAUAGGGGUUGUUGUAAAUGUUGAACGCGGCAUGCGCGGACCACCUAGUUUCACAAUCGCUGUGGAAUCUUACAUGCCGGAUAUUGAUGAAGUUAGAAAACGAGCCAGAAGCAUACGGAUUUUUAGACAAUAUAGUGUCCCCGACCCAAAUUAUGUAUAUACAGAAAAUAAUGAAGCAGCAG